rnacentral:rRNA from 1 species
GAGGCCGCGCGGACGCGUACCCCCUCUAUCAGAAAUUAUGACAUCCACUCUCCCAAAGGAGAUGGUAGAUCAACGCACUCACUAAGUGCAAUGUGAGCCAUUGAUCUAGGCCAUGAGCCUUCUUGA